CAACUACUCCCUCUGUCCCAAAUUUCUUGUCUUAGAUUUGUCUAGAUACGGAUGUAUCUAAUACUAAAAUGUGACUUGAUACAUCCGUAUCUAGACAAAUCUAAGACAAGAAUUUUGAGACGGAGAGAGUACUUU
rnacentral:pre_miRNA from 1 species